CCCUUAGAUGUUCUGGGCAGCACGCGCGCUACAAUGGUCUUCGCAAACGGAUGCAUUCUCGAAGGAGAAUGCCAAUCUUGGAAUCUAUGCCUUGGUCGGGACAGUUGCUUGCAAUUUUUCGACUCGAACGAGGAAUUCCCAGUAAGCGCGAGUCAUCAGCUCGCGUUGAUUACGUCCCUGCCCUUUGUACCCACCGCCCGUCGCUACUACCGAUUGGAUGGUUUAGUGAGACCCUCGGAUCGGUCCCGACUCGGGGUGGGCUUCUGCCCCGGUCGUGGUUUCGCCGAGAAGACGGUCAAACUUGACUAUCUAGAGGAAGUAAAAGUCGUAACA
rnacentral:rRNA from 1 species